UAGAAUUCUUUUUAUGAUUCUUACGCAAACCAUUAGGAUUUAGAAAGAAACGGUGAAUUUUUGUGUUGUUUCUGCUUUGAUUUUAAAAUAACAGAAAAUUUAUAAAUUUACGCAGUAAUAAAUCCAAAUAUCAGCAAUAUAUAUCAUUGUAUCAGUGUGAAAUAAAGUCGGAUUGAAUAAUAUCCAAUUGAAUUUUAACCGAUGACUUUGAAAGAUGACAAUCGCAUCGAAACAGACACAGAAGUCGGUUUCGAUUUUAUAAAACUGCUCAGCUGAGUGACGACGAAGCCAUUGCAAUAUAAGAGAAAAAAAAUUUAAGUAAAAACGCAUUUGGUGAAUACGAAUAUCCAAUGAGCAUUAUCACUGGGAUACGAAACGCUAGAUUCGAAAUGGAAAAGCCGAAAAGAUCACACGAUUGUUCGUUUUUGAAGAAGAAGAUGAUCGUGAUCAAAUUGUAAUGACUUUUUGGUAGUGCAUCACCUCAUAGAACAUGAACGAGUAAUGGUAUUGAAACAUACAUGGUCACACAAUAUUCACUUCCAGAAAGGGGUAAUAAUUCUAUGGACGUGUAUUGAAGAAUAUGCCUUGAAAAAAUCAAAUAAAAACUUCGGCUUGCUGCUUGAAAUAUUUUUCUUGUCGACUUACGGUGUCUAUAGUCUAUACAGAUUACUUUUACGGUGAAUGAUUACACGUGGUGUUCAAGCGGAAAAUUUAUUCAAACGUACGGAGACCAUGUCGAAAUGUUAACGAUCAGUCUUUACCAUUGUAUCGGAGUCAAAAUCGGAAUAUCAACAAUGUUCCAUUACCAACUGCAACCCUAGAAGAAGCAGCCCCUUUCAACAACAUCACUCAAGCAAUACAUCAUUUAGAAAAUAGUUUAUAGCUAUUAUUUGUUAGUCGCUAGGCUUGAUUAAAUUGUGGCCUUGCCGAAGUAUGAGUUAACUGUUGGUAUAAAUUGUACUCGAUAAGUGGAGUUAAUUGCAUAUAGCAUAUUGAAUAUUGAUGAUUAUGAAUCAAUCCAUUUUUUAUAUCAAUCUAAUUGGAUUGUUUUUUUCUCCCUUUUUUCUUUCCAUUGUGACGUUGAAUUUGUUGAAACUACACAUAUGCCUGACAAUGUAUGAUUUUGUGUAAAUAAUUGUUUCUUUGGUACAAAGAAAAUUCCCCAAAAUUUGAUUCAUCAAUUAGGAUACAACAUCUAUUGCAUUGCGAUCAAAAUAAACCAAAAAAUGUUGUUAACAAAAUAAAAGACGAAAUAGUUUAAAUGGAAAUAUCUUUUUUUUUAAAUUUCUUGAGACCUGAUUGUAAUUAGUAAAUAUGUUGAUUCAAGCGCCGUAUUCCAUAUAAACAUUUAACUGAUGCUAAUUUGUCAAAAAAAUAUUACACGUAUGUUGGCUUAAUCAUUGCUAAUUCUAAGGAUUUUUACUUGUGUGUUCAUUCCAUCAAUAAGAUCAAUUGAUUAAGUGUAAAAUCGGUUAAUCUGUCUUUCGUAACUCUUUCCCUCCUCUGUUGGAAUUGUUUGAACCAUUACCCUAGAUCAUUUGUUUACUGUCAUGCAGUUUUUGAGUAUGCAUCAAUUCGCACACAUUCUCAUCGGAAUGAACACAAAAAGAAAAAAAGAGAAUAAAACAACAACGCAUACAUAUAUAAAACAACACGAAUGUGUUAAAAUAUUUCAAAUAUAAAUAUGUGAACGUAACUCUCCAGCAUGUAUAGUGUAUCAGUCGAUGAGUAACAACAAGCUAAAUUUGUUUUAUUUGGAUUCAUUUUUAUUUUAAAAUUAAAAACUUACAAAAACUAUAGUUUGGAAAAAUUCUUUUGGAAAUAAAGGCUUCUAUGGAAAAUCUAUUUAAAUACUUUGCCGUGUGGUUCAUCGCAACUGGUCAUUUGGUGAUUAGUGAGUUCUCGGAGAUACAUCAACGAGAUGAACCUUUGAUAAAGGAUAAUUCAAAUAACAUUGGCAGUCUUUCCGUAAACAUUCAAAAGUUUUCCACUUUAAAAAUGCUUGAUCCAAUUGAUGAGUCACGUACACCAUUGGUACCGCACAAACGUGUAAAACGCCUUCACAUUUUCAGACCGCUGUUUGUCUAUCGACAAGAACAAAUUGCACGAAAACGUAUUAUAGAAAACCGAAAAUACAACAAUCGGAAGAUAAACCGUAAAUAUGUUAAUACUGAAGCGCCAUUCUGUAAAUGUAAUAAAUAUUAUAAUUAGUCGAAAUAAGGGUACAUAAAAAAUACGAACGAAGGAAACAAACGCAUUUCAAAUGUAAUGGCCAGGAAAAGUGCUAGAUAAAAAAAUAUAAAUGAACACCGUUGAUUAAAAGGAAUAUCUUGAAACAAGAAAUAUUUGAAGCAGUGAAUGAAAUGUACCGAUGUUCUACCCCGAAUUGGAUCUUUUUGGCUCAAAAAUGCUAUCCGAAUGUUGCAAACAUUUUGAUUAAAACUUUUUUUUUAAACUAUACAUUUUCAAUUUCUACGAUGUAUAAAAAUUAAUUUAUACUAUAGAAAUAGAUAUCUGAACGCAUUCAGACAUUUUGUGAAUAAAAACUUACUCUCUUUUGUCAAAAACCAUUUUAACCAAUCUUACCAUGGAAAAAGAUACUCUCAUUUAUCGUACUACCAUUCAGAAAAACAUACUUUCCUAUAGUCAUUUUCCAUAGAUAUGUGCGUAGCGACCAAAAUUCCAUACAGCCAAAGUCAAAUGGUCGCAGCUGUUUUAACAAUAGAAAAUACAAUUAAUUGAAGAUAAAAGUGUUAACUUUCAAUUUAAAAUCUCAUAACGGCCAAAGUUUAACACCAAUAAUUGGCCGAAAAUAAUUCCUUGAAAACCGAUUGAACGCUCAACAUUUUUUCGAAACCAUUAUUCGAGUGUCACAAAAAAUUCUGUUAUUUAUAACUUUACAUUAAACUCAUUUUGACAAAAAUUCUUUCAUAGCGAUCAAAUUUCUUUUUGUAGCGACCAAAAUUCCAAAUCCUCGAAAAGCUGCGACCAAAUUUUUUUUUGAAAUUUUUAGUAGCGACCAUAUUU